rnacentral:rRNA from 1 species
AUUGAACGCUGGCGGCAUGCCUUACACAUGCAAGUCGAACGGCAGCACGGGAGCUUGCUCCUGGUGGCGAGUGGCGAACGGGUGAGUAAUACAUCGGAACGUACCCUGAAGUGGGGGAUAACGUAGCGAAAGUUACGCUAAUACCGCAUAUUCUGUGAGCAGGAAAGAGGGGGAUCGCAAGACCUCUUGCUUUAGGAGCGGCCGAUGUCGGAUUAGCUAGUUGGUGAGGUAAAGGCUCACCAAGGCGACGAUCCGUAGCGGGUCUGAGAGGAUGAUCCGCCACACUGGGACUGAGACACGGCCCAGACUCCUACGGAGGCAGCAGUGGGGAAUUUUGGACAAUGGGCGCAAGCCUGAUCCAGCCAUGCCGCGUGAGUGAAGAAGGCCUUCGGGUGUU